AUUGAACGCUGGCGGAAUGCUUCACACAUGCAAGUCGAGCGGCAGCACGGGGGCAACCCUGGUGGCGAGCGGCGAACGGGUGAGUAAUACAUCGGAACAUGCCCAGUCGUGGGGGAUAACACUUCGAAAGAAGUGCUAAUACCGCAUACGUCCUGAGGGGGAAAGCGGGGGAUCGCAAGACCUCGCGCGAUUGGAGUGGCCGAUGUCAGAUUAGCUAGUUGGUGGGGUAAAGGCCUACCAAGGCAACGAUCUGUAGCUGGUCUGAGAGGAUGAUCAGCCACACUGGGACUGAGACACGGCCCAGACUCCUACGGGAGGCAGCAGUGGGGAAUUUUGGACAAUGGGGGCAACCCUGAUCCAGCCAUUCCGCGUGAGUGAAGAAGGCCUUCGGGUUGUAAAGCUCUUUCGGCAGGAACGAAACGGUGAGCUCUAACAUAGCUUGCUAAUGACGGUACCUGAAGAAGAAGCACCGGCUAACUACGUG
rnacentral:rRNA from 1 species